CAAAAGAAGAGAUAUUGAAAAGCAUCGUGUAUGGAGGUUUAACGGAGAUCAUAGCAAGCAUAUCUAUCGUAGCAUUUUUUGCUGAUUUUGAUACCACCAUAUUGAACGUCGUAGCUUUUGCACUGGCAGGGCUAAUCGGCGGGUGCUUUUUCUUUGUAACCAAUAUUUGGGGACUUAAGAAAGGAGGUGGUAAAACAUAUACAGAGCAACUUGGACGAGUAAAUUAUUUCCCAUUUCAUGCUACUUUGGCUAUGCUAUCUUUCAUAUUAUUUGGGAUGAUUCCACCAUCCACAUUCGUGUUUUCAUUUCUUAAGACCAAUGACAAGAAACUCUCGAUUUGGGUAGUUUCAGCAGUGUCACUCUUGUGUCUCUCCUUGCUUGCAAUAUUCAAGGCCUACGUCAUCACAAGCAUCACAUAUCGAUUUAAGUAUGUUAGAACCGUGCUUUGGUAUCAAGUUAUUGCGUUGGGUGUCUCGAUUUGUUCUUACCUGGCUUCGAAGAUGGUUAAAGGGUCGAUUGAGGACAUCGGGCUGUUUGACACAAGUACAUGUGAUGCUAUGUCUAUGUCCCGUCAUAAUUACAAGGUUUAAAAAUGUAUUCGGUUUUAGUUAACUUUUUCGAUCGGCCAUCACGAGGUGUAUAUUUUAACAAUUUAGUAAUUUACUAGUCCUUGGAUGUACGUUUACAAUGUAAUAAGC